UGCUUACAAUAAACCAAAUUACAUUACUCUAACAACAAAUAAAAAAGAUGAUGUCGGUGGAGCCUCAUAUACUGCAAUCAGAAGAUGGAGCCUAAUCAUCCGCUGUAAGGUCCUAUGGAGGCAGAGGAAACUGAUGAUAAUAUUGUUGUAUGAAUUGAUCAAAUCACGUAAAUCCCUCAUCCAGUUGCACCUUGAUACUAUUAGCUCAUGCAUCAAUCCAUGCUAUAAGAGAUGUCUCCAAUGUGUCUAUGUGAGCAGAGAAUGCAUGC
rnacentral:lncRNA from 1 species